GACGAACGCUGGCGGCGUGCUUAACACAUGCAAGUCGAACGGAAAGGCCCUGCUUUUGUGGGGUGCUCGAGUGGCGAACGGGUGAGUAACACGUGAGUAACCUGCCCUUGACUUUGGGAUAACUUCAGGAAACUGGGGCUAAUACCGGAUAGGAGCUCCUGCUGCAUGGUGGGGGUUGGAAAGUUUCGGCGGUUGGGGAUGGACUCGCGGCUGAUCAGCUUGUUGGUGGGGUAGUGGCUUACCAAGGCUUUGACGGGUAGCCGGCCUGAGAGGGUGACCGGCCACAUUGGGACUGAGAUACGGCCCAGACUCCUACGGGAGGCAGCAGUGGGGAAUAUUGCACAAUGGGCGGAAGCCUGAUGCAGCAACGCCGCGUGCGGGAUGACGGCCUUCGGGUUGUAAACCGCUUUCGCCUGUGACGAAGCGUGAGUGACGGUAAUGGGUAAAGAAGCACCGGCUAAGUACGUG
rnacentral:rRNA from 1 species